GGAUCUCUUGGCUGCUACGCAAACACUCUAUCCACUAGACCACGGAUCACCUAUCUAUUAUGGAUGAUGGAAUAAUGGAUUAUAAUGUGAAGUUUUGAAAAGCGACCACUCACGUCCAAUGCGCAUGCAACUGCGUGAACCGUGACACACCGGUCUGCGCGGCCAGGUUGCAGAUGUGCACACUGGUUGCACCACUAGUUGCGCCGGCGGGUUGCAACCGAUGCAACCUGGCCAUGGCGACGCCACCCGGGUAGUUGACGUGGGCGAUGCUCAGCAGAAACAGGGAGAACAGGCAGUUGGCUGCUAUGUGGCCGGCUGCUCCAACCGCUAGCAGUUUUCUGGAAGAAGGAUUUGGAGCGGUUCGACCAUCUGUAACCGACAAACAGCAAAUGAAACAUGACGGUGCACCAGCUCAUUUCCACGGAGAAGUUUGGGAUUUUCUAGACAAUCGCUUUCAACUUCGCUGGAUUGGCCGUGCAGGGCCAAUUGCAUGGCCACCUCGCUCACCGGAUUUAACAUCGAUGCAUUUCUUCCUGUGGGGUUUCAUCAAAGGUUUAUAAUCCACCUCCACCAGACAAUCUUAAUGACCUCCGAAAUCGCAUCAUAUUGGGAUCGCUUCGAAUGCACAAGUUACGCCUGAUAUGCUGCUACGAAUGUGGCAAGAAAUCGUUUAUCGGUGUUUGUGACAUGCGCACGCAGCCGCAAUGUUGAGCAGCGGAAACACGUAGACAAUGAAGCGCAGCUCCUUGUGCGGCAGGAACGAGAAGGCGGCAACAAACGCCAGGGGCGGCAGAAGGAGGCGGCACGCCCGCACGUC